rnacentral:lncRNA from 1 species
ACACAAAAUUACUUCCAAAGCUCCCAUUGGUGUAAUUUGCAGCACUGUAAACACCAUUCUGAGUUUUUGCCCCAAAAUCUCUUUUAAGCAGGCUAGAGUAACCUCUGUCAUAAUUUUCCCUGUCUCUAAAGGUAUUAAAUCCACCCCUUUUGCCCGCAGAGUAUCUGUCCCGACGGUCAUCCUUCAUGCCUCCUCUACCCCUGGAACGACCUGUCAAGAAAACAAUUGCAAAUUGAUCAAUUAUGUCUAUGACACAAAUCAUUGUGGACAGAAAGAAACAGAUCUAUUCAUGGUAGGCGUGAAAUGUUUUUACAAUUUUUCAGCUUAAGUUUUCACAUUCAAGGUUUUACUCACC